CCUACGGGAGGUAGCAGUGAGGAAUAUUGGUCAAUGGGCUUACGCCUGAACCAGCCAAGUCGCGUGAGGGAAGACUGCCCUAUGGUUUGUAAACCUCUUUUGUCAGGGAGCAACGCCGGCUACGUGUAGCCGGACUGAGAGUACCUGCAGACAAAGCAUCGGCUAACUCCGUGCCAGCAGCCGCGGUGAUACGGAGGAUGCGAGCGUUAUCCGGCUUUAUUGGGUUUAAAGGUUGCUUGGGCGGACUGCCAAGUCAGCGGUAAAAUCGCGGGGCUCAACCUCGCUCCGCCGUUGAAACUGGCGGGCUUGAGUGAGGGAGAGGUAGGCGGAAUGCGUGGUGUAGCGGUGAAAUGCAUAGAGAUCACGAAGAACGCCGAUUGCGAAGGCAGCAUACCGGAGCUUAACUGACGCUGAAGCACGAAAGCGUGGGUAGCGAACAGGAUUAGAUACCCUGGUAGUC
rnacentral:rRNA from 1 species